UACGUAGGGUGCAAGCGUUAAUCGGAAUUACUGGGCGUAAAGCGUGCGCAGGCGGUUUUGUAAGUUCUGACGUGAAAUCCCCCGGGCUUAACCUGGGAAUUGCGUUGGAGACUGCAAGGCUGGAGUCUGGCAGAGGGGGGGUAGAAUUCCACGUGUGAGCAGUGAAAUGCGUAGAGAUAGUGGGAGGAACACCGAUGGCGAAGGCAGCCCCCUGGGUCAAGACUGACGCUCCAUGCACGAAAGCGUGGGGAGCAAACAGG
rnacentral:rRNA from 1 species